UCGCCUUUUCCUAUAAAGCUCGCAUUUUCUCGCACCUCGUUCUAUUCUACCACGAGACCUGCGAGUGACUACAUCGAAGAGAACUGCUUCCUUGUGCAACGAUUACAUCAUCGAAGUACUGCGAGCGACAAACGACAAAGGCAGUUCUACAUGAGGCUGCCGACAAAGACACUAGUGCGUACAUCGUAGGGCGAUAUAUGUUUGUUAGUUUUGGGUAACACAAUCCAUCGAACGAAACAAGGAACGGCGUGGACGCAACGAAUCGAUGAUCGAGCAACAAAGGCAAUCAGCGUUGAGCGAUGAAUAAGCGAGGUUCUGCGUUUUGUACUUGAGUUUCAAAUAAAACUGUUUUUUCCUAUUAAAAA
rnacentral:lncRNA from 1 species